CUCGUAGGCGGUUCGACAAGUCGGGUGUGAAACCUCCAGGCUCAACCUGGAGACGCCGCUCGAAACUGUUGUGACUAGAGUCCGAUAGAGGAGUAUGGGAAUUCCUGGUGUAGCGGUGGAAUGCGCAGAUAUCAGGAGGAACACCAGUAGCGAAGGCGAUACUCUGGGCCGGUACUGACGCUGAGGAGCGAAGCAUGGGGGAGCGAACA
rnacentral:rRNA from 1 species